rnacentral:rRNA from 1 species
ACACUCCUACGGGAGGCAGCAGUGGGGAAUUUUGGACAAUGGGCGAAAGCCUGAUCCAGCAAUGCCGCGUGAGUGAAGAAGGCCUUCGGGUUGUAAAGCUCUUUUGUCAGGGAAGAAACGGUGAAAGCUAAUAUCUUUUGCUAAUGACGGUACCUGAAGAAUAAGCACCGGCUAACUACGUGCCAGCAGCCGCGGUAAUACGUAGGGUGCAAGCGUUAAUCGGAAUUACUGGGCGUAAAGCGUGCGCAGGCGGUUUUGUAAGUCUGAUGUGAAAUCCCCGGGCUCAACCUGGGAAUUGCAUUGGAGACUGCAAGGCUAGAAUCUGGCAGAGGGGGGUAGAAUUCCACGGGUAGCAGUGAAAUGCGUAGAUAUGUGGAGGAACACCGAUGGCGAAGGCAGCCCCCUGGGUCAAGAUUGACGCUCAUGCACGAAAGCGUGGGGAGCAAACAGGAUUAGAAACCCGGGUAGUCCCAUGA